rnacentral:snoRNA from 1 species
AGAUCAUGAUGCGGGCAUCCUUAAAAACUCCUUGAACUUUUCCCAUGUCUCGUACAAAGACUCCCCGUCAUCUUGAGGGUAUGAAUUAAUUUCGGUCAUGAGUUU